ACCAGUUCCACAUGCACUCCCUAAUCAGGUUCUAAUCACUGAUUAAUAUGAUUCGAAUUUUAUGGAUUUGAAGAUGUGAUGAACGUAAGGGUGUACUUACUUUUUCCAUGUGAUUAAUUUGUUUUGUUUUUUAAUUUAAAUUCUGAAAAUUACUACAAAAUGUCGGUUUUAUGCGUCAUGUGAUGGGGUAUCAGCUUUAUUAAUAGACACUGUUUCAAAGAGGAUCACAUGAUUACUUGUCCAAAUACUCUAUGUGAAAAAAUCCAACAGCUUCCAUGGGGCGUACUUACUUUUUCACAUGACUGUAAAUAAAUAACUGAAUGAACAAGUGAGUAAAUAAAUAAAUUUGUAGGUGAGUAAAUGAACCCAGAGCACAAGUGUACGCACUCCAUGCAGUUAAUAACUGAAAAUAAUGAUGAGAGAUCAUUAAAAUUGGGCCGUGUAUUAAUUCUGUUUCACAUUACACACCUUUACAUACCGCGCACGACACACCACAGUAACCGCAUUUACACACACCAGAAGAUAGAUGCAUAAACAAACAAACAAAUAAGUGAGCGAGUAAAUAAAUAAAGAGAUAAAUAGAUGGAUAGACAGAUAGAUAAGUAAACAAACCAAUAAAUGAUUGAGUGCGUAAAUAAUUAAAUAAACGGAUAAAUAGACAAGUGAGUACGUAGAUAGAUAAAUAAAUAAAUAAACAAAUGAGUGAGUGAGAAGAUAGAUAGAUAGAUAGAUAAAUAAAUAAACAAAUGAGUGAGUGAGAAAAUAGGUAAAUAAAUGAGUGAGUGAGUAAAUAGAUAGAUAAAUAAAUGAGUGAGUGAAGAUAUAGAUAGAUAGAUCAAUAAAUGAGUGAGUGAGAAAAUAGAUAAAUAAAUUAAUGAGCGAUCGACUAAAUAGAUAGAUAGAUAAAUAGAUAAAUGAGUGAGUGAGAAAAUAGAUAGAUAGAUAAACAAAUGAGUGAGUGAGAAAAUAGAUAAAUAAAUGAAUGAGCGAGUGAGUAAAUAGUUAGAUAAAUAGAUAAAUAAAUGAGUGAGUGAGAAAAUAGAUAGAUAGAUAGAUAGAUAGAUAAACGAAUGAGCGAGUGAGUAGAUAGAUAGAUAAAUAGAUAAAUAAAUGAGUGAGUGAGAAAAUAGAUAAAUGAAUGAGUGAGAAAAAUGAAUGAGUGAGUGAGAAGAUAGAUAGAUAGAUAAAUGAAUGAGUGAGUAAAUAGAUAGAUAGAUAGAUAGAUAAAUGAAUGAGCGAGUGAUGAGUAAAUAGAUAGAUAGAUAGAUAAAUGAAUGAGCGAGUGAGUAAAUAGAUAGAUAGAUAGAUAGAUAAACAAAUGAGUGAGUGAGAAAAUAGAUAGAUAGAUAGAUAGAUAAACAAAUGAGUGAGUAAAUGGAUAGAUAGAUAGAUAGAUAGAUAGAUAGAUAGAUAAAUGAGUGAGUGAGAAAAUAGAUGAAUAAAUGAACGAGCGAGUGAGUAGAUAGAUAGAUAAAUAAACGAGCGAGUGAGAAGAUGGAUAGAUAAGUGGAUAAUGAGUGAGUAAAUAAGUGAUCUGAUUUCCCGAGCUCCGGGUCAGCACUGCUGUCUGUGCGUUGUGUUCUCAGUAGCGUUUGUGUAUUUCAGUAAUAAUUUGACGACGCAGUCACUGCAAGCACGCUCUAUACCGUUAACC
ensembl:lncRNA